rnacentral:rRNA from 1 species
UUUUAUGGAGAGUUUGAUCCUGGCUCAGAGUGAACGCUGGCGGCGUGCCUAAUACAUGCAAGUCGAACGAUGAAGCUUCUAGCUUGCUAGAAGUGGAUUAGUGGCGCACGGGUGAGUAAGGUAUAGUUAAUCUGCCCUACACAAGAGGACAACAGUUGGAAACGACUGCUAAUACUCUAUACUCCUGCUUAACACAAGUUGAGUAGGGAAAGUUUUUCGGUGUAGGAUGAGACUAUAUAGUAUCAGCUAGUUGGUAAGGUAA